UACAGAGGGAGCGAGCGUUGUUCGGAAUUACUGGGCGUAAAGGGCGCGUAGGCGGUUCGAUAAGUCCCGUGUGAAAUCCCUCGGCUCAACUGAGGAAUGGCACGGGAAACUGACGGGCUUGAGUUCGGGAGAGGGAAGCGGAAUUCCGGGUGUAGCGGUGAAAUGCGUAGAGAUCCGGAAGAACACCAGUGGCGAAGGCGGCCCGCUGGGCAGUGGCUGACGCUGAGGCGCGACAGCGUGGGGAGCAAACAGG
rnacentral:rRNA from 1 species